rnacentral:rRNA from 1 species
GGAGGAUCCAAGCGUUAUCCGGAUUUAUUGGGUUUAAAGGGUGCGUAGGUGGGAUGAUAAGUCAGAGGUGAAAGCUAGCAGCUUAACUGUUAAAUUGCCUUUGAUACUGUUGUUCUUGAGUAUAGUUGGCGUUGGCGGAAUGUGACAUGUAGCGGUGAAAUGCGUAGAUAUGUCACAGAACACCGAUCGCGAAGGCAGCUAACGAAACUAUCACUGACACUGAUGCACGAAAGCGUGGGGAGCAAACAGGAUUAGAUACCCUGGUAGUCCACGCCGUAAACGAUGAUAACUCGACGUUGGCAAUAUACUGUUCAGCGUCCAAGCGAAAGCGUUAAGUUAUCCACCUGGGGAGUACGAUCGCAAGGUUG